rnacentral:tRNA from 1 species
CCGGAAGGUGCACUUGGAAGAAACAAAGUAUAGCUCAGCCAGAACAGCAUCUCCCUUACACCGAGAAGACA